rnacentral:rRNA from 1 species
GACGAACGCUGGCGGCGUGCUUAACACAUGCAAGUCGAACGGAAAGGCCCUGCUUUUGUGGGGUGCUCGAGUGGCGAACGGGUGAGUAACACGUGAGUAACCUGCCCUUGACUUUGGGAUAACUUCAGGAAACUGGGGCUAAUACCGGAUAGGAGCUCCUGCUGCAUGGUGGGGGUUGGAAAGUUUCGGCGGUUGGGGAUGGACUCGCGGCUUAUCAGCUUGUUGGUGGGGUAGUGGCUUACCAAGGCUUUGACGGGUAGCCGGCCUGAGAGGGUGACCGGCCACAUUGGGCCUGAGAUACGGCCCAGACUCCUCCGGGAGGCAGCAGUGGGGAAUAUUGCACAAUGGGCGGAAGCCUGAUGCAGCAACGCCGAGUGCGGGAUGACGGCCUUCGGGUUGUAAACCGCUUUCGCCUGUGACGAAGCGUGAGUGACGGUAAUGGGUAAAGAAGCACCGGCUACCUCCGU